CAGCUCGUGUCGUGAGAUGUUGGUUAAGUCCGCAACGAGCGCAACCCCUACUUGUUAGUUGCCAUCAUUCAGUUGGGCACUCUAGCGAGACUGCCGGUAAUAAACCGGAGGAAGGUGGGGAUGACGUCAAAUCAUCAUGCCCCUUAUGACCUGGGCUACACACGUGCUACAAUGGUUGGUACAACGAGUUGCGAGUCGGUGACGGCGAGCUAAUCUCUUAAAGCCAAUCUCAGUUCGGAUUGUAGGCUGCAACUCGCCUACAUGAAGUCGGAAUCGCUAGUAAUCGCGGAUCAGCACGCCGCGGUGAAUACGUUCCCGGGCCUU
rnacentral:rRNA from 1 species